UCAGUUCUUAUGGUUUUCUUGUUCAGUUUGUUGUUCAGUUCUUAUGGUUUUCUUAGAGUUUUAGACUAUAGUCAUGCCCUAUGCAUUCAACAAUGAACCAAAACUUGUCUCUAAAUUCACUGCAGUAAUUGGAAACUCUUACUCACCAUUAUGGCUUUUUAAUUAAAUUUGUGGCAAAUUGGUUAGUGUCCUUGUUAUCCUUCAGAGUUUUAGACUAUAGUCUUUAUGUAGAAGCUUCUUCCUUUGCUCUCUGGACAACAUUUUGGCCCUCUUAUCAUUUUCGAUCCUCAUACUUAAACUAGGGUGGUCCUGGUGGAGGGCUUGAUUUUGGUCGUGGUUCCGGUGGUUAUGGUGCACCAAUUAGUCCAAACAUUCCUUAAAUAUAAUGUUAUGUGCUCUAGUUUUUGCAAUUUUGGCUGUCAUUGGAGUUAAUAGUAGUUGUUCCCCUCUCCCAAUAGUUGCUCGAUAUGUCAGACAAUUUACUUAUUAUUCGGUUAUUUAUGCAAUAAAGAUUUUGAUUGAGUGUAUGUUA